rnacentral:rRNA from 1 species
UGCUUGUUGUGUGAGAGGAGACGAGGGAAUACGGGGGUAGCAGGAUGUAUCCUGAAUUAGUGGGUUUAUAGGGUAAAUAAACAGGUUUAUAAGUUAGCGGUGAAAGUUUUUGACUUAAGCAAAAAAUUGAAAUUGAUACUGUAGGGCGUGAAUAUUUGUGAAGUAACUAGAAUAUGUAGUGUAGCGGUGAAAUGCUUAGAUAGUACAUGGAAUACCAAUUGCGAAGGCAGGUUACUAACAAAUGAUUGACGCUGAUGGACGAAAGCGUGGGUAGCGAACAGGAUUAGAUACCCGAGUAGUC